AAAAAAUCUUUAUUAAGAUAUUGCACAAUAAAUUAUAUUAGUAUAAUUACAAAGCUUCUACUUCUGCAUAGUAUGCAACAUUUUUUUUAAGAUGCCAUGUACUAUGUACAGAAUUGUACAUCUUUUGGAAAUUUGACAUAUUAUCUACAAAACAAUAGCAUUAUAAAAGUAUAUACAAAUGGAAAUAUUAUAAAGAAAGAUUAGUUUAAAACAAAAAUACUGUCGUUAACACAUUAAAGUAUAAGUAAACAACAGACAACAUUGAUAAAAUUGUACCUUUGAACAGGUAAGAUCAUUAAAAUAUUUCUCAAUUUUUAUUGCAGGUUUCCCACUCAAUGAAUAUUAUGAAACACUAGUACUGUACAAUGACCAUACUUUGGAUUGUGCUGAAAUGUACUAUUUACUGGCCUUUAUAAAUAAUAUGUGUAUGCAAACUUAAAUAUCACAAAGAUACUCUAAAGGUUCUGAUAAUAUGAAAGAAAAAUCUAGAUUGUUUCACAUUUUUAUACCUCAGCUAUUGUGAAAGAGGACGAACAGGGGUAAAAAAUUCAUGAUUUAAAAAUUAAUAGUAUUCACCAAUUGCUCAUGUUUAGAAAAGAAAAUAUGUAUAGUAGUGAUUUAAACAAAAUUUAAGUUUACAAGUCAAAGCACAAGAUUCAAAUGCAUUCAUGUUCUAUAAAUAGAUUUUGUAAAAAAAAAUAUUUCAAUAAAAUAUUGGCUUCAAUAUUUCAGCAAAGGCCUAAUAUUAGU
rnacentral:lncRNA from 1 species